ACGACGACAACGACGCCGACGACGACAACGACAACAUUUGCCGUGGUGGUAGUAGCUGUAGUAGCGGUAGUAGUAGUAAUCGUGGAAGAAGACCGAGCAGGAGAAAGGGAUAAGAACGAAGGAGGACAGAACGAGCGUUGGAGGCCUGGAGGAAGGAGGAGGCUGACUGAUCGGCAGAGUAGAGGAGAAAGAGCACGCCUGCGCGGAAUCCCCGGGCGGGCGCGGGCAGUGCCACUGGAGGCCCGGCGGUUUCAGAGCUUCGCCCGGGACGACGAACCGCAGACGAGCCGUACGCAAAACUCGGUCGUAGUUAGCCGUGUCGAAGGAACGUCGGAAAAACGGCAAAACCACGCGACGAAGUAAGCCCCUGGUGACAGCUCGCGAGUAGCAGCGUUUUUUAAUCGUUCGAUCGACGGGGAGAGAGCGUGUCGGCCACUUUGGGCACGCAUCGCAUCGGGGGCAAGGGCCGCGGCGGACACCUCGUGAGAAACGAUCGAGCAUAGAUCGGAACGGUGAAACGAUCCGACAGUUCAUCGGGAGAUAAUGUGAUCAGUGAAAGAAAAGGAAAAGCACGCCGAUCGGUGGUGAGAUCCGACGAAGAAACGUGCGCGAUCCGACCAGGAAACGUACACCGGUGAGAGGGGUGCUGCUAUGCACGAGGCCUGGUAGCGCCGAGAGCCAAGGAGGAUGAGCAGCGUGAUAACAGAGGACUAGGUGCGAGGAGGUUCGCCGGACGCCAGUGCACUGGUGUGCUGGUCGUUCUCGGAGAUGUCAGUGGACCCGUCGAAGGGGAUCGCGUCGUCGUUCUCGUCGUCGUCACUGUCUUCGUCAUCAUGAGGAGAUCCUCUUACGUGAACUACUACGUCUUGUGCCUCGUGUGCUGGAUUCUCCUAGGCAUCACCGGGGUGAGCACAAGGUCUCAUUCGUUGGUGAAGAGGUUCGACGGGAUUUACACGGGGCCGUACUUCGACUCAAACACCCCCACGAACGUCACGGCCCAGUUGGGAAGGCAUGCGUACUUGCCGUGCAGAGUGCGACAGCUUGGUAAUAAAUCAGUGUCGUGGGUCAGGAGAAGGGACUCCCAUAUCCUCUCAGUAGAUAGAACUAUGUUUAUCCCGGACGAAAGGUUCCAGGCGCUUUUCGUGGACUCGGUGGACAGCUGGACCCUGCAGGUUAAGUACGUCCAGGAACGCGACGAAGGCGAGUACGAGUGCCAAAUCUCGACCGACCCGAAAAAGAGUCACAUCAUCAAGCUCAACAUCGUCGUGCCAAAGAUCGAGAUCAUAGGCGACCGCGACAUGUACGUGAAGACCGGGAGUACGGUCGCCAUACGGUGCAUAAUCAAACAGUCCCUGGAAGGGCCGUUCUACGUUUUCUGGUAUCACGAGGGCGACCGGGUUCUGGACAAUCAGUUGGGCAAGAUCGAAAUCCAGACGGAGAGGAUCAAUAACGACACGGUCAGCAGUCUCGAGAUCCGCAACGCGAGGCGGGAGGACUCGGGCAAUUACACUUGCAGCCCGAGCAGUUUCGACAGCGCGAGCGUGCAGCUUCACGUGUUGAAUGGUGAACAUCCCGCCGCGAUUCAAAGAGGGAUGAACUCGGCACCGGGUGGUUGUCCAACGUUGUGGUGGCUGGCGGGCGUCGUGACGCUGUAUUCGAGUCACGGCAGCCGGCUGUUCCCCCUCGUGGCCCUUCUGAUCCUCGUGGUCCUUUGUUACCCGAAGAACCCGCCGUAUUUCGCGCCGGAACGAUAAUCAGGAAUGAGAGGGAGCACGGUGUCGCAAGAUGAUCGAUCAUCUCCUGCUACGAGACCCGGGAAGCGCCUCGAAGAACACUCCGGCGAGAAGAGACGCGAGGACGGAGCGUGUGUGCGGGCUUUCUCAGGAAUCGAUUUCGUGAACGGGAAAAGAACGAGGACGAUCAGCAAGGGAGACCGCGAGAAGAAUACACGGCGUGAAGCAAACGGCGAACGAGGGUGGUCUAAUGGUUCCUUUCGGUCAGCGAUUAACGUUUUCCUUUCCGAGGUACGAGGUCGACGGAGGCCCGAGAUUCCGGUCGGUCCCUCCGAAAGGAGGACCGUCCGCUGUCCUGUUCGUUUCGCGGAGACGAUUCCGCGGUCGUCGUUCGUCUCGACGGGUCGGCAGCAGUGAUCGCGAGCGCCGAGAACACGUCGUCUUCGUUGCCCGACCGUCUCGAGCACCGGCGAAACCUUUACAACGAACCGUUCAGUUCGAGCAGGUAGAUCGAAAUCGUCGACGUUUCGACGACGCCGACUACCCUGCGCCAGGAAGGGGGACUCAAGGGUAGAGAGAGCGAGAGAGAGAGAGAGAGAGAGAGAGCGAACGAGAGCGAGAGAGAGAGAAGAGAAACGAGACAAUGUGAUCGAUCCGGCCGUUAGUAAUUAGGGAUUAAUUAAAUCUCGCGGGGGUUCUUGUUAAAUCGGCGCGAGUUCUUCGCGCGGUCGAACACGGGGGAUGGCGAACGACACGAAGCUCGCGAACACACUGUCCCACGGGAACGAGAAAGGGCACGAGAGCGAGCGAGAGAGAGAGAGAGAAAGAGAGAGAGAGAGAGAAAGAGAGAAAGAAAGAGAGAAAGAGAGGGCAAAGAUUUUUUAUAGAAGCCACGAGACAUUAAACGACUCCACGAUCUUCCGUGAAACACGUACGAUAGAACGUUUUGUAUCUGCGUAUCGAUUCGCAUCGAUCGUUUUAAGAAAUUCGAAGCGUCGUCGCGUCGCGUCGCGUCGCGCGAAAUCAUUGUAUAUGUUCAUCCGGAGCUGUCGUCGAGGAGAAUCGGUCCCGCGGCGGGAGAAAACUGAAACGCAAGCUCGAAACGAGAUCCCCGGCUUACUCAUUGUUCAUCAUUGUCAAAAGGUGUUCCGUGAUCUUCGUGUCUUUCCCCGGCGGGAAGCCAAACAGCGGCGAAGUCUCCGAGAUCGAUCGCGGGAUUCUGUCGAGGACACUGCGAGGGUUUCGUAGUUUCUUUCGCAUCGAGAUUCACUCGAUGAGACGCGCGCGCGAGUGUGUGAUUCCAGAAGGGUGGCUACGGAUCGCGGGGGUGGGAAGCACCGUUGGUUCGGCGAGCAAACGAAAAAUAAUGGGAUCGCGAGAAGGGGAUCGCUAAAUGCUGACGGAACUUCGUCCGCGCCGCUCCACAGAAUUGAGACUUGUUCGAUGGAUUUUUUCGAGGCGAUGUGAUUAAUUAUAUUCGAAUAGGAAACGAUUAGCGAAACAACGUGUCUAUGCUCGACCGUCUUACCGCGGCCGUCCCGGGAUCGUCACGAGCAAGCCGACAAUCGUCUCGACGAUCGUCAACGUCUGACGGUCCGUCGAAACAGUCGCACACGCGCCAGGUACGCGCUCGAUAUGUACUAUUUUUCCUCGGUUUCCUCUGCUUUACUUUCACACCACAGAGAUUACCGGAACGAGGGAAGUCGACGGUCGCGAACACAGUCCAAGGCAACGUUCCGAAACGAUUCGGUUUCUUGAUUUCAGAGAAUCCGGCGAGGUCUUUGUAAUGCCAGAGAGGAAGCCGGCACUUGUUGGCUGCCGACGAUUAUUCUUAUAGAGCCACGAUGAUCGAGAAGAGGAGAUUUUAACGGGGGAACGUGUCCGCUUUGAAACGCGGUCGCGUCUGUUCGGUUAAAUUGAAGAAUACGCUUAAUAGACGGGCAUCUUGAAAAGAUCCCUGACUUAACGGAAAUCAUAUUUUAUCGUAUAUCGAUCGAUGCGUUGAAGAGUUCGUAUAGAAGGGUUUACGUUGAAAACGUGACUAUUGGAUGCUGCUAUUUUCAAAGAGCGUGCAUCGCUUCCGACCGAAUUAGUUAGCGAGUAUCUUCGUCGUCGCUCUCAGAUUAUAUUCUUCCCUCUUUUUUUCCUAAAACGCUUCGCGCGAGAUGCAUUGAAAACUCCCGUCGGAUGCGAUAAAAAUAACGCGUGCAUGUGUACGCGAUGCUCACGGCUGAUACGUAAAAGCAGAAGUUUUAUUUAUGGAAAAUCGUUUCCUUCGUGUCACCGCCGCCGGGUCGAACGAAUAUCGAAGAGAUUAUCUAAGAGCGCCGCGUGUGUCCGAGACGCGGCAACGAUACGAACGGUAAUAAGGAAUCCGAAGCUUCGAGCGACGACUCCGGCGACACCCUUAUCGUAAGUUUAAUCCCCGAGGAUGGUAGCGUCCCCGAUAAUUCUCGUUCAUAUCAGACGACGAGGUCGACCCCUCCAUAUCAGAGCUGCUUCGCAGUUCCUGAACGUUCUGGUAGCGAACCGAACCGUGUGCGUCGCGGCGGUAACUCGUCCGCGGAAACCUCGUUAACUUCGCGGCGCGGUCGCGCGCCGCCUGUUACAUUUGACACUGCCUGUUACAUUCGACACUGCCUAUUACAUUCGACACUGCCUUCGUUGUUUUCCGUGUCCGCGGAGACCCAACCAAAAUGGAGCAGACACGCAAGGCGUACCUCGAACGCCUCGCGACGAUCCACGGUGACGGAGAUUUUGGUAUUCGAAGCGCAUUGAGCAUAGACACGAGCCAACUAAAAGUCUUAUAUGUCCGUGCAUGCGUGUUAGAAUUCACAACGGAAUGGGUCAGGAGGGUGCGGGACUACGAAUUAGCAAGCACGACGAUGUAUCGGGGUUCGAUCCGCGAGUACCGUUGAAAUUGGAAACAUUUCGAAACUCGAAAUCAUAAGUCUCUUCGAUCCGAGGAACUUCCUAAUAAACGAGCUUCCAAUAUCGAUCGAUAAACUCACUAAACAUGAGAUAAUCGUAGUGGGAAGGAUAUAACGCGCGAGCGUGGAAUCGUCGGACGUCACGCAACCACACCGAAGAACCUCGGUUCCGACUUGUUUCUUGUGUUCAUUUCUAAUGUUAAUUCACCUAGUCCACUCGAAACGUGGUCGAACGAGAAGGAGGUGGGAGGAACGUCCCUGAAUAAAGUAAAGAAGAACCGAGAAAGACCGAUGAUCCUUCGAUUCUCCCUCCUAUCGUCCGAGCUUACGCGAGAGAACCAUCUUCUUGCGCACGGUUUCGCUACAUUUCAUUCGAAACAGUUGAUUCCAAGUAUUGUAAACGACAAUCGCAAUCACGGUUGUCACAAUAAACGAAAUUUCAAUGUGUGAAUAAUUAUAAUAUUAUAUAUAAUAAUAUAUAUAUUAUAUAUACAAUUUAUUAUAUAUAUAUAUAUAAUAUAUAAUAUAUAUAAUAAUAUAUAUAUUAUAUAUAAUAAUAAGGUGUGAAUAAUCUGUUCAUGUAAGAAUCCGAAUAAACGAGAUAACGUAUCCUUUCCACUGAUAAUUCUCUACACUUUGCAGGUUCUCGCCUACUUCCACGUGAUGUCUUUCAAAUUUUAUCGAUCGAUAGAUAAGCAAUGGUAGCGGAACGUUGAUAGUGUAUUAGAGAGUCGCCUGUGCGACACAGGACCCAUACCGUUUUUAACGUUGUGCAUGUUCGGCUGUAUAAACGUACGGACGGACAGCUUUUUCGGGCCGCCUGAGGCGUUCCGUGAAUUUGCUUUCUUCUCGCAAGCGUUAGGGGAUACUGUUUUUUAUAAUAUUAUAUAUAUAAAUAUAUAUAUAUACAAACGAGACAGAUAAAUAUAUAUAUAUGUAUAUGUGUGUACGCGCGCGCGAAUACGUUGCACAAUGGUGUUGAAGUAUUGAACAAGUUUCAGCUCGGCUCUCUCCCGGGAAAAAGAGAGAAAGAGGGAGACGGCGGGAGAGGGUGGGAGAAAAGAGGAAGAGAGAGAGAGAGAGAGAGCGAGCGGCGCAACAAACGUCACGGGAAUACAGUGGGUUAGAGUUAAAGAAAUGUUUUCGCCGGGCGAGUGCAUGGACGUAAUCGUGAUGAAAGACUGUGAAUAAUCGUGAAGAAAGUGAAAGAGAUGGAGGGGAAAGAGAAAAAGAGAGAGAGAGAGAAUGAGAGAGAGAGAGAGAAAUAGAGAAAUUGUCGAAGUAGGAGCAGCGGGAGAAGAAGACUAGCUGUACGAGACCGAACGAUACGUUAGAAUAUCUACGAUUCAUGUGAUUGUAAAUACAUAGUAUAUAAAUAACGUAACGUUAAUUAACGAUAUGCCGUACGUGUUACACUAAAGCAACAAACAAAAAAAAAUGAAAUAAAUAACGUUACUGUGUAAUUUCUCGGAUCGUAAACGCAUUCGAAUGGGUCUGGCCGCCCGUGCUAACCGACUCGGGGUUGUUUCAGAAGACAAUAGCGGCUACUGAGAAAGUCUGAGGCUCGUUUGAUCUCUCGUUCCACCUUUUUCCAUUCUUUUCACUCUCGGAGUCUGGAUCGGUAUCGACAUAUCCGCAAUCUUUCCUUCCCCGCAUGGAUCAUUUAUCCCGUCUUUGAAUUCUACUCGCCGACAUUCUCAGUUCUACGAUUUGUUUCUAAACCAUAUGCCAGUAUGCUAUGCUCGGAGAAGGCUUUUACGCAAGCAUAGGUCGUUUGAAGUCCACCUUAUAAGGCUGUAAACAUACGGGGCACAAAGGGAACGAUAACGAAGCCCGUGGUUAGCGUGAUGCAGAGUGGAAAGUAUGUAGAUCAGUGGCAAUAUUAGGGACAGUGGUGGAAAGUUCUAUACAAUAACUCCAACGAUCUCGAACAGUGGACACAAUUCGUGUAGACAAACUAAAAUGUAAAUAUCGUAGCGGACCGCGCGAACCGGUACUUCGUGUUUUUGUUAUAACUCCGUGCGGCGUCCAGUGUCUUAUUUAAUGGUUUUCGUUGCUGUAUUCUGAUCAAAUGCACUGAUAAAGUUUGGUCGAGCAAAUUCGGAUCGAGCUCGUUUCUACAGAAGUUUCGAUUCCUGCAAAGUUAUCUUCGAUUUAAAAUUCAUACCACUGUAUGAACUUACUGUUAACGAAACUGUGAGAACUUCCCAAUGGCCCUAAUUAUUGCAUUUAAUUCUUUUUAACUUGUUACUCGGAGAUGUGGAAUAUACUCGCCAUUUUCAUUCAUCAACCCUUGCGUAGAUACUAAUUUUCGUUGAACACACUUUCGCGUAUUCGUUAAAAAGACCCAUAUUGAUCUUAGUAAUAUUACUUAAUGAUUUUAGGUAAUUAUCGUCCCUUGGUACUCAUGUCCACGCGACCGAUUAGAAAAGCAUUUUGUUAACAUGUUACAAGUGUUAUAAGUGGAAUAAUAAUACGUUCACCGACAGACGGCGUUAAUCCUCGUCCAGCCACUGGUGCAUCAAUCGCGACCUAUGUUUCGAUCUUGACAAAGUCGCACGCGCAUCGAUCCCAUCGCUUGCUUUCUUUCGACGGACCUUCUCCUCUUUUAACUAUAAGCAUCGUUAGAUAAUAUUUUGUACCGAAACGAUUAGUUUAAAGAACGUAGAUAAUAAAUCGUCUGGUACCGUUUCCGUUUGGCUGCCCGAGGGUCAACGCGAGACGGUGCUGCGGAAGCGAGCGCAGCAGGAGAGGACGAAAGUUCUGGUAUAAAAACAGAGAAAGACUGAACAUAGCGACAAAAAGUGAAAAGGAAGAGAAAGAAAAGGAACGGGUGGCGCAGGGGGGCAGCACCGGCGCGCAUGCUUUUUCUGGCGCGUCGGUGCAACGAGACAACAAAAAGGGAUGCAGCUGCGAGCAGCUCGUCCCUGGGUAGCACGGGCCGGCCACACGCGACUAGAUGUAACACUAAUUAACGCCUAGCGUAAGAACUAACGGAUAUAAAUGAAGGGAUAUAUUGUCUGACAUAAUAACCAGGUGUGAACGUACACGCGUAUACGUGAUGUCCGCGGGCAGCAUGCAAUGACUGUCUCUCUGCGCGUGUAUGUGUGCAUGCGUGCGUGCGUGUGACGCUCGCGCGAGCGUGAGGCGAAAGCAAGGGAGAGUAUGUAAGAACGGACGAAAGAGAGUGCGAGAGCGAGAGAGAGAGAGAGAGAGAGAGAGAGAGAGAGCGGACAGAGAGCGAUGAACACGAGCGAGCGAAAGAAUAAACAGGUGAGAAAGGGACACAUACACACGCGAGGGUAAGAAAAUUAAAAGAAAAAGGGGCUUGUUCGUUGGACUGACGCGGCAAGGCGUUGGUCGAAUGAAGCACUUUAAAAUAGAAAGAGGCGACCGAGGACAAUCUUUCUUGUACCGUUUCUUCCCUUUCUUCGUGGAGCGCCUCGCGAGGCCACUCGUGGCGAAAACAUAAAGAGAAAGGGCCAACGAUAGGACUCGCCUCGCGACCGCAAUUAAAGUUCGCGCCCUUUAUUCUCUGGUGCCAGCCCGGCGGCCCCCGCCACCCCUCGCGAGGCGGAAGAAGAAAGUUAUAAUUCCCGCGCUUGUCCUCGUCGCCUCCUUUAUUACAACCGAACUAACAAAGAGGGGACGAAAGUCCGGGGCUAACGACGACCUGUGUCGGAGUGACGAUUAUAACCACAAACGACGAUGUUGACGGAGAUGAUAACAAUGAUAACGAUGAUAAAUGAAUUUGAUGAUGGUGAAUUAAAUAAAAACGUCGUCUAAGGUAUACUAACGUUGUAGACAGCAUUGAAUUUUUGUACCAUUGUCUAUAGUAGCUCUUAAGUGCCGCGGAGUUUUCAGUUCUUAGAGUUGCCCGCCUGCGCAGGCUUGCGUACGUAUUUCUCUAUGUAUUCUCGGUUUUAUCGAUGGCUCGCGGGGGCGGAUGUUGAUUUCGAGCAUUGUUAGCGUCCACGAGACUUUCAUUUCGUCGUGUGCGUUACUUCGAACGAACUUGCGUCGAUGAAUGUGCGGCCGCGUCAGUGGUUCCUCGUCGUUCGGCCCGGCAGAUUCGUAUUUUAUUACGCGAACUUCGCCGCGACUCGAUUCUAUCGGAUACUACGGUUACGUAGGCGAGAGCGAGACAAAACGAUUGGGAACCGCUGACUCUCCUUAGAAACCAUCCCCUAUUCCGCCAGAGAUUUCAUAUUAUUCCCGCGUGUCGCGCCGGGCGAAGGCCGUUUCUAUGAUUCUUGCCGCUCGUUGCUGCGCGAUACACGCAGUGAGUUGCCCAAGACUCGCCUAAAUGUCUCAAUUAUUUUUAAUGACACGGAAAAGUUUCCAAAAGUAUUGUUUGUCCUAGCUGGCGAACGAUGAAAAGAACUUUCUGGCCGAGCAAAUAUUUUCUAAAGGUCCAAAUUUCUAGAUUCUUCACAUUUCGCAGACCAGUAGGGUUAUUUAACGAUCGCUACCAUAUCAAGAAUAAAUUUCCAUUGGAUACUAACAAAUUACCUUUUACUACUACCUUCAAAAGCCUAAUAACAGGCUUCCGGUAGCUAAAAUAUCAAUAACGUCAUAAAAAUAAGGUUAAAUUUAAUUUAACCAUUAAAUGCAAUACCGUAUAAUUUUUAGUUUUUAUGAAGGAAUAAUAACGCCUUGUAUUAGCCCUUUACAAGUACCUUCGCCGAUGAUAAAAAUCCAUGAAGUUACGCUCACGAGACCAUGGCGGAUAAUUCCUGCCUAGCUAAAUCUCGCAUAUGUGUACAUAAGCUAUUUCUAACAAAAAGACAUUAUUUUAAUACUGAAGCAACUACGUUGUGAAAUAAUACUAGCAGUACUACAUUCAUAUUUUGCACUCGAAGCCAUUUUAACACUGAUUUCAAAAUAGUGUUUCCAUUUUGUAUGACUUAAGUGCGUGUUAAAUAAAUGACAUUGAAUUGUGCAACAAUUACACGUUUAACAAUUUUGAAAAUAUAAACAAAUUCGAUAAUGUUGAAAUGAUUUUGAUAUAACAAUGAUUUUGAUAAUAUAACUAAAUCAAUGUUUCAGUUACUUGAAGUCGCAUUCAAUAUAGCGCCCAAGCAAAUGGCCGUCAAACAGUUACCAAUACGCUAAUACACCUGCGCAAGUAAUCGCAUAUUGCACCGCUGGAUGCAUUAAAAUCUGAAUAUUCUAUCGAAGACGACAUCGAUAGAAUAUUUAGGUUUUAAUGCAUUUUAAGGCGACAUAAUCUUGUAACGUUAGAGGAAAGAUCAGCGAAAAGAGAUUUUUUUACAUCGGGAUAUCCGCCGCGAAUACAUUCUCUCGUGGAAAUUUUCCAGUGUCAUUAAAGACCACGGACGGCGCUAGUCUUGGAGACUAACCGCAGUUAAAUCUGCGCAGCAAGCCAGUCAAGCAGUAAGUAUCAUUGAAGCGCGAUGAACGAUCAAUUUUACCUACUCCAGCGUCACCGUACACCCCUCGGAAAGAUGAAUAUGAAUCGAUUUACUUAAGUUAAAUCCGCCCCAGCGACACAACACGCGCCUGUUCCCGAGAGUCGCGGUACGCGAACAUCGAAAAAAGAUCCUUUUUCGUGUGAUGAUUGACCGUCCUGACAGUUCGUCGAUGUGCUCUUACGCGUAGAUGCACGAGCUAGUUUUGUCGAUAGUAGAUAAAUAUGUAAAGACAGAGAAAGAAGUGCGAUUCUACCGUGGACGAAAGGAAGCCCAACGAACCCCGUUACCACUGGAACACCGCAGCGCCGCCAUCGAACCGAUCUAUCGAUAAAUACGUCUGAGAUAUUGUCUUCCGCGCGCAUGCGCGGUCGGUCGUACGGUGGUGGUCGUGUGGCUGACGGUUGAAUUCGCCGGUAAAACGAUCUCACGGGAGAGCACGUGAACUUUUGUCGAAGAAACUUGUAUACUGUUGCGGUGUGAAUCGAUUGCCCGUAAAUAGUGUCUGAGAUAAUAGCGUUGAUAAAACCACGAGGAACGUACAUGUAUGUAUGAUUAUAGUGAUUUUAACCCUCUACCGCUUACUACUGCUGUGUCGGCCAUGGAAGGCAUCAUAGGGUACUUAUUUGCGACGAUAUCGGAACGCCUUGUAAGUAUAGAUAACUUUUAAGAAAAGAAAAACCAAGUACGUACCUCUUAGAUGAAUCCUUCUUGACAUGAUUCUAUUUCUGUUCGUUUCGUUUCGUCGGAAUUAUAUAUCGAUUUAACCCUGUCACCGGUUUGAUUCGUCUCGUAAUAUUUUCUAUUUUUCUGUACGUUCGUUCGCGGAUCUUGGCGAUCGUGUUUACGUACAACCAGUUCGUAAUAAGAACAGAACAGAAUCUUAGCUGUGGAGGGUUAGAAACGAAUAAAGGGUUAUACAGUCGAUCGUCGAUCGAAACGCUCGGGACGGCGAGAAACUUUCAUUAAAAUCCUUCUCGUAAUCGGUAACGUCGUGCGAUCCGUCGCGUUUUUCGUAUCGCACGACGAGCAAAGAGGCCGCGGGCAUCGAGGCUCCAUGGAUCUCGAUAGAGCGCACGUCGAUGCCCAAGAUCCGGAGUCUCGAUCGCAACGAUGGGAAAAAGCAACCUGUCGAAACGUUUCAGUUUCCGAGGUGUAUCUUCCCAUAAACGACCGUUCUCACACGUAGCUAAUGGGUCUAACUAAAACGUUAACGAGUGCCGUUUGCCGGUUCGAACGUUCGACGAAGCUGAUGACAAUUAAUUACGCGCAACGUACAAUCGACUGAAAGCGACGACGAGUCGGAGAAACUUAGGGAAAAGGACGAUGGAAAAAAAUGCGUUUGUCGAGCGCCCGAAUAAGCGAACAAUCGAUUUAAAGCUAACGUAUAUUCAAUGACGACGACAUUCGAAGAAAAUAAAGAAAGAAAUAUCCCUCGAAACAAGAGCCUUGUCUCGCAGAUUCCCGGCUGCGCACCUUGAACACUGUAGGGUAAAGGGGAAUAGACUUUUAACGAAUCUGCGAGGUGACGCCUAGGAACAAUUGUUUGGACGAGCGCAGUUGUCGAAACGAACGGAAAUGGGAACGCGUGGGUACAGUGUUUAUGUGAGUUAGAACGGAAGAACAUACAACAGGAUCAGAAAAAAACAAGAAUGAGAGAGAGAGAGAGAGAGAGAUAAUAAAUCAAUGUUAAACUGAUCACUAUCGAUUUGCAAUUUUGAGAAACACAUCUUCGUUAUUCGCCAUUUUCUCUACAUAUGUUCAGCCUCGGUUUCGCAAUCUGGACGCCAAUCUCCAUUAGGCAUAUAGAUCGCAGCUGAAGCUGAUGCUGUGUGUGGGACAUUCGUGAAAGAGCCAAAACAUAAACCAUCUCGGACCAACCGACAUCGACGCCGAACUUAUUUUAUGCAUCAGGGGAUGUUUAGAUGCGAGCGUUAAAUACCCACAAGGCAGCAUCGUCCAUCUCGAAGUACACAUUACACACAAUUCUCAGCGUUUCCGUUUUUUCAAAGUAUCACGACAACAAGGACGAGGAGAAUUAUGUCUCGUUCUAUGUGUGUAAGAACCAUAAAGCUUAAUGAAGAACAUUAUACUAUGAACUUACGGGAUACUAAAUAAAAGUAAGCCAAACCGUUAA